rnacentral:lncRNA from 1 species
AAAUGUCCAGUGGAGGGAUGAUGGCCCUCCUGGUUAUUGUGUUCCUUCUGCAGUGCGUCUGUGUCGCGGCGUUUCCGUUGUUCAGGUACAGUUUUCGCCCAGCGGUGGAUUUGGCGGAGAGCGUGUCACUUACAGAGCUGAACAAGCGCGCGGGCUCACCGUAUCUCUUCCGAAUGAACAGGCGUAUCGUGCAACAGAUAUCAGAGGUGGGAUUCAACACCUUUGAUAUGGAUCUCCAUUUUGGGGCUAAACAGACCGUCUGCCCCAUUGGAAGCGAGCGAUACCUGGAGAGAUGCCCCUACAUGUGGAGUCAUUCAGCGGUUGAGGGGACGUGCUCCAGCAGAGUCCGCGUCUCUGGAGGCUACGCCCUGCUCCUGUCCCUCCACUGCCUGAUUGACAGCUCCAGCAGCGAAUCCAGCAGCAGCGAGGAGGAGCUGCUCAGGGGGAGGGCACCAAUCUCUGCAAACGUCUGGAGCAAUGCGCUGUGCAGGGGAACGGCCAGGUGCACUAGACUACUGUGGUAGUCACCUCACUCUCAACACACACACACACACACACACAUCUCUCUCUCUCUCUCCAGCAUUGCGCUGUGCAAGGGAACGGCCAGCUGUGCUAGACUGCUGUGCUAGUCACCUCAGUCUCAAGUAUAUAAACAAAUAAACAUUUAUUAUCUCUAGAGACUAAACA